AUUUAUAUUUAUUUAUUUGUAGUCCCUUUUUGAAGGGAAAGAAAUUAUGUAUACACCUCAUGUGUAUAUAGACAAUUUUUUUUCCCAUAUAUUCACUUGUAAAAAGGGUAAAUAAAUUUUAUAAUUUAAUCACAUGUGUAUUUUUAUUUUAUUUAUAAGUUUUUUAUGAAUAAAAUUAGUAGUAAAUAUACAUGCUUCGUGCGAUAAAGACAUUUAAAAAAGAGAUGAACCAAAAAAUCUUCAUAAGCGAUAUAUACGUUAGAUAUGUAAUAGACAU
rnacentral:sRNA from 18 species